ensembl:lncRNA
UGGGGGAGGAGGGAGCAAAUGUUGACUUCAAUUUUAAAUACUCCCCGAGGCCUGAAAUAAGAGGACACAGAACAAGAUCUCUUGUUCUCUAGCAAUAGUUGAGCCAACUGAACUGUGUGCAUGCAGCCUAACUACAUAAGGUACCUUAGGAACCAAACAAUGUCCGAUGUCUCAGAGCUAAAGAAAAUGUUGGCAUAGCUUGCCAAGCCACAGCUGUCUCCAUUUCAUUCAGUGGUUAUUCUCCCACUCUGGAGCCCACUUUGCCUUUUGAAAAGCAGCAGAGAUUUGCUUCGGCAUGUGAUUAGGCCAACUGUCUAGUCAGGGUUUCUUUUCCUUAGCUUUCUGUCUUAAAAUCCUGAGAGAUUUUUGACAAGUGCUGAUUUUUAAACACUAUAAAUUACUUGCCCAACCCCCACCCCAGAAUGGUGAAAAUGCGCUCUAUUUUUAUCAGCUGUGUGUGCAAUUUGGCUCAUGGGGGUGAAAAUGUACUCUGAGAAUUUUUAAAAACUUUUUUAAACCCAGCUUGUUUCUCUCUUACCACUACUUCUGUCAUUUUUUUCAAAAGAGAGAGAAGAAAUAGAUUAUACAAUAAAUAGAUAAAGAGAUACAUAUUUAUUGUUGUUGCAAUGCAUGUAGUCUUUAAGGUUCACCCACUUUCUGACAUCACAAGAGGAUCUUUUCAUCACAAGAGGAUCUGGGGUUCUUCAAACCAAAGCAUAUUUCAAGAGAUAUGUAAGUUCAUAUGUAAGUUCAGGGUACCCCUUUCACUGUCCCAAAUCAUGACAUGAAGAUAGUACUUCUUGAAUUGCUAUUGCCAUUAUCAUUAUCAACACCACCACAAAAACAAUAAUAAUAAAUUUGAGUUGUUGUAGAUGGUGAUCACCCUUUUAGUUAUAGUUAUUUUAGAAUUUGUUCUGAUCAACUAUAAACAGUCUAAUACCAGGCCUGUGCUAGUCUUUCCAGCUUGGUUAAAAACCUAACAGAGUUUGUUCUCUGUUGGCCUAGCCUUAAGAAUCCAGGACCACCUACAUUCCAGAAUGAGUCUUCAGAGAACUUUAAUAGAAAAAAAAAAUAAAAUAAAGAUUUUUUUUUAAAUGGGAAAAAUAAUAAGGUUCUCUCCUUCCCAGAACAAAAUCACAACCUGAUGUGUGACUGAGGCAUGAACUUCAAUGGAUAAAGGGACAGAGGUUUUUUUUGCUUGUUUGUUUUGUUUUGUUUUGUUUUCUCUGCUGUAGGAGAUAAGACUAGAGGUGAGAAAGCAGGGAAGGACAGAAAAGGUACCUGUAUUCAAAUAGUGUUCUAGAAGUAGUCAUGAUCUGUUUGACUUCAGAGCACUGACUUUGGGGCUGUGACUGUGGGUAGAACCUAAAAGUUGAUAAAUUUAGAACUUAUAUAAGGAAAAAUUUCCUAACAAUUAGAACUGCCUAAAAAAUGUCAUAAGCUACUUCAGAAGAUAGUGGGCUACAUCUAAGUUAUUACAAUAAAGUAGCACAACUUAUCUAGAGAGACAUGAAAUUUAUACAUAAAUGAACUUUCCAAAUAAUACGUUCAGUGUCAAAGCUCUUAAAAAACAUUAAACAAUUUUUAUGGUAAACUCCCUAAAGCUUCUUAAAGUGAGUAUAAUUAAUAUAAUUUAUUCUUUUUUAUUUUUAAUUCCAAAUGUGUUCUUUCUCUUUGAUACCUCCCUCCCUCACUGAAAAAACAAGAUAAUACAAUGCCCAUUAUACCUAUGAAAGCAUGCAAAAUAUAUAUUCCAAUCUGUACUCAGUUCAUCAGAUCUGUCUCUAGAAGUAGAAAACAGUUUUUCAUCAUAAAUCUUUUAGAAUUGUCCUAUAUCAUUGUAUCAAUAAUUUAAUCUUUUGGGAUGGCACAAGGUCCUUAUUAUUAAUCAUAUUAAUUGUGGUACAGUUUGGCAUAAUAAAAAGAUCCUGGGACAUUGAUUUAGAAGAUCUUAUUGAAAGUUCUGGCACUUUCUCUGACCUGCCACAUGACACUGAACAAGGCAAUUAACCUCUCCGAGCUUCAUUUUUCUCUUCUAAAGUCAGUGGAGGUGAAUUAAAUGGUCUCUAAGGUCUUUUCCAACUCUUAAAUCUAUAAUCCAACAUCUGGUCUUUUUUUGUUUGUUUGCUUUUUGACUGACACAAGUCUUUAUAAAAAGCAUCACUGAGCUUCAAGAUGAAGAAAGUGAUAUUAUU